AGGCAACACAACGGGUAUUCACAUUAUACAAUUUGCCUUACAAAAAAAGUACCGAAGAUCGAGAUUUAUGGAUUAUAUAAUUUAUAGAUCUUGCUGACAUCAGUAAACUGCAUUACUUGGGUCUAAAGCCAAAAGAGAUAUGGAUGAAGUCGUCAACGCUCAUUCGCUUUAAUAGCUCAAACGAAUUCAGCUACUGUACCUUGUUCUGGAUCACCUUAGAGCUUAGACCUGCAAAUUGAUGAUGCUCAUAUAAACCGCAUCCCACAUUUACCUCGCGUGGAACAACACUCAGCUCACAUCGAGGCAUGCAACUACAACUACAAGUGUCUGAUUUGAACUGGAUUGCAGGGAGAUCACAUUAUUAUAUUUCAUUCAUGUGUGGAGAUCCGCAAAUUAAAGAUAGUUUUGUUUUGAAGCAUGGAGAAAUUUAAAUUGUAAUUUAUCAUUAUUAUUCUAUAUAAAGGCCAAUUGGAUAUGGUUUUAAUUUUAA